AGGACGAACGCUGGCGGCGUGCCUAAUACAUGCAAGUCGAACGGUCUUUCUAUGGAAGCUUGCUUCCACUGAGAAGAUAGUGGCGAACGGGUGAGUAACACGUGGGUAACCUGCCCAUAAGAGGGGGAUAACAUCCGGAAACGGGUGCUAAUACCGCAUAGUUUUCUUGAUCGCAUGAUCGGGAAAGGAAAGACGGCCUUUGUGCUGUCGCUUAUGGAUGGACCCGCGGCGUAUUAGUUAGUUGGUGAGGUAAUGGCUCACCAAGACGAUGAUACGUAGCCGACCUGAGAGGGUGAUCGGCCACAUUGGGACUGAGACACGGCCCAAACUCCUACGGGAGGCAGCAGUAGGGAAUCUUCCGCAAUGGACGAAAGUCUGACGGAGCAACGCCGCGUGAGUGAAGAAAGGUUUUCGGAUCGUAAAACUCUGUUGUCAGAGAAGAACAAGUUGGAGAGUAACUGCUCCAGCCUUGACGGUAUCUGACCAGAAAGCCACGGCUAACUACGUGCCAGCAGCCGC
rnacentral:rRNA from 1 species